CGUGCAUGUGAGCGCACAGGCUUUGGGCCCUGAGGCGCAGUUGCGCGGGCAUGCGUAGCGCCCCUCGCCUCCUCGGACCCGCCCACCAGCCCUGUGUUCACUGGGGGUGAACCCGCUGCACAACGUGGUAGAGCUGGAACUGGGUGCCUGAACCGGCUGGGUAUUUGGUCGAUGAAGUUUUGCCCUUAAAGGGAUGCCGUACUUUCGGUGGAGCAUAAUGGGAGCUAUAAAGCCAGGAAAGUAGAUCCAUCAAGGAAUAUGGCACAUUUGUGACACCCUUGAGAUGAUUUAAAUGGAAAAUAGCCAUAUACUGUUCUUUAAAAGUCUUUGUGAUACAGUUUUUUUCGUAAAGAAUCUCCAGUGUACGAUUUUGAAAUUAUAUACUUCAGAGACUUUCAUAGGUGGGUAUUUUUAAGCAGUUUGGUAAUUUUGGGGCCAUACCUGUGUUUUCUAAUUGCCUUCCUUCAGUAAAUGUUAUGGAUCUGGAUCGUUGAGCACAACUAGGCACAUUGUGAAGACAAAAUCAAAGAUAAACCAAACUGUCUCAAGGAGCUCACAUAUUAACCAAGAAAGACAAUAAGCAAGUAAACAAAUAAAUAAGGCUAUUGCAAAUUAUAGGUGCCACAAA